UUUUUACGCUAUGUUGGACUUA
rnacentral:snRNA from 1 species